CGCUUAUACUAAAAUAGUUAGGUAUUAUUAUUGAUGUAUGCCCGAGAAUUUUCGCGGGCCUUUUAAUCAGUGGCCCGUGAAAUUUAGAGGUCCCAAACGGCGAGCGGUCAACAUAUCUCCGAUACAAAAUAUCUCCGACAAUAAAUCUCCAGUAAAAAAUAUCUCCAAUAUAAAUAUCCCACAGGAAAUAAUAACUAAUCACAAUAUUAGUAUUGUGUAG